rnacentral:tRNA from 1 species
GCGGGUGUAGCUUAAUUGUAAAGCUUUGGCCUUCCAAGCCAAUGACGUGGGUCCGAUUCCCAUCACCCGCUCCA